CAGUAGCCACGGUAAUACGAAGGGGGCUAGCGUUGUUCGGAAUCACUGGGCGUAAAGCGCACGUAGGCGGACUUCUAAGUCAGGGGUGAAAUCCCGGGGCUCAACCCCGGAACUGCCUUUGAUACUGGGAGUCUUGAGUUCGAGAGAGGUGAGUGGAAUUGCGAGUGUAGAGGUGAAAUUCGUAGAUAUUCGCAGGAACACCAGUGGCGAAGGCGGCUCACUGGCUCGAUACUGACGCUGAGGUGCGAAAGCGUGGGGAGCAAACAGGAUUAGAUACCCCCGUAGUCCCUGUCUCUUAUAC
rnacentral:rRNA from 1 species